UACGUAGGGUGCAAGCGUUGUCCGGAAUUAUUGGGCGUAAAGAGCUCGUAGGCGGUCUGUUGCGUCGGCUGUGAAAACCGAGGCUCAACUUCGGCUGCAGCCGAUACGGCAGACUAGAGUUCGGCAGGGAGACUGGAAUUCUGGUGAUAGCGGUGAAAUGCGUAGAGAUGUGGAGGAACACCGAUGGCGAAGGCAGCCCC
rnacentral:rRNA from 1 species